rnacentral:tRNA from 1 species
GGUUGUAGCUCAGUGGUAAAGCACUUGCCUUGCACGCAUGAAGCUCUGGGUUUGAUCCUCAGCACCA